rnacentral:rRNA from 1 species
UACGUAGGCAGCGAGCGUUGUUCGGAGUUACUGGGCGUAAAGAGUGCGUAGGCGGUUUUCUAAGUUUGGUGUGAAAUCUCCCGGCUUAACUGGGAGGGUGCGCCGAAGACUGGAAGGCUUGAGUGUGGGAGAGGUAAGCGGAAUUCCUGGUGUAGCGGUGAAAUGCGUAGAUAUCAGGAGGAACACCAAUGGCGAAGGCAGCACUCUGGGACGUGACUGACGCUGAGACGCGAAAGCGUGGGGAGCAAACAGG